GUAUAACUACACACAAGGUCAAUGCAGCAGCAGACAACUAGUAGAUUUAGUUGUCUGUAGGAAAUGACAACACAUUUACAGUCUAGUAGAUUUAGUUGUCUAUAGGAAAUGACAACACAUUUACAGUCUAGUUUGAUUUGUUUCCUAAUAUCCUUUCAGGUUGUAUUACAAUCAUCCAGUGAUCCACAUAACAUUAGGAUGAACCCUGCUAUUCUCCACUCAGGCGGAGAGAGAAAGAUGAUUAAACGAUAAGGUAACCAUGGCUGACAGAGGAAGAACAAUGAUUCCAAGCCACAUCCUCCUUUUGAAGCUUCCAGUCUGUUAUUGGAACUCAAUCAGCAUGAGAGAGUGAUCUCCACCCUUGUCCUCGUCUACACUCACACCUGUGUUAACGAGAGAAUCUCUGACAUGAUGUCAGCUGGUCCUUUUGUGGCAGGGCUAAAAUGCAGUGGAAAUGUUUUUUGGGGGGGAUUCAGUUCAUUUGCAUGGCAAAGAGGGACUUUGCAAUUAAUUGCAAUUCAUCUGAUCACUCUUCAUAACAUUCUGGAGUAUAUGCAAAUUGCCAUCAUUCAAAAUGAGGCAGCAGACUUUGUGAAAAUUAAUAUUUGUGUCAUUCUCAAAACUUUUGGCCACAACUGUACUCAGCCAACUCCAACCUCAGUCUCCACAUCUGUUUUUUCUGCAACUUCUCCGACCUACCCCGGAUCUGCACUCCAUAUCUCUCUGUGUAACAAUACAUAUUUUGGUUCAUUCAUCCCUGUUUCCUCAUCUGAGUCUGCUCUUGGGUUCUGCUGUGUCGCUCCGCUUAACAUUGUGGUCCUUUACUAAUAAACACCUGCUGCGCCCUGCGCUUGAAAUCUCCCAUCGUGUUAAUUAUAGUUUGAUGUUUUCUUAAAGGUGAUUUUCAUUUCUUAAACCAUGAAUAAUUAUCAUAUGUAAUCUUAUAAUUUCUUUAUUCUCAUUCAUUCUGUAGAUCCUGCAUUUUGGGAAUGUAGGAAAAACAUGUCAAAUGAACAUUCAGAAGAAUAACCAGAGGCACAAUGGCAACCACUAAACAGACUGCUGUGAAGUAUGGCAACCACUAAACAGACUGCUGUGAAGUAUGGCGACCACUAAACAGACUGCUGUGAAGUAUGGCAACCACUAAACAGACUUCUGUGAAGUAUGGCAACCACUAAACAGACUGCUGUGAAGUAUGGCGACCACUAAACAGACUGCUGUGAAGUAUGGUAACCACUAAACAGACUGCUGUGAAGUAUGGUAACCACUAAACAGACUGCUGUGAAGUAUGGCAACCACUAAACAGACUGCUGUGAAGUAUGGCAACCACUAAACAGACUGCUGUGAAGUAUGGCAACCACUAAACAGACUGCUGUGAAGUAUGGCGACCACUAAACAGACUGCUGUGAAGUAUGGCA
rnacentral:lncRNA from 1 species